CAUUUCUGACUUCUGUUUGAAAUUCUUGUCUUUACUUUCUCCCUCCGUCCGCAAGCGCUCAAAAACUCUUCUCGCUCCUUAGCUAAUCCACAGUCCAAACCUCCCUGACCUCAUGGAUUCCCUUCAAGCCACCUACGAAGACGAAGACGAAGAAGAAGACGAAGAACAACAACAAACCAACAACAGCGCCACCCACCACAACCCUUCUCCUCCUCCCACCAUCAGUCCCAUUGACCUCGAGGAACGCCAAAACGGCACAGACCCACCUCAAAACGACGCUGAAACAACUCCAAUUGACAACACAACUUCCAACCAACAACCUCAACGAGAGGACCCCUUUACACCAGCCUCCGAAUACCUCUCCGAAUCAGACCACCCGACAACCUCAAACGACAACGAGAAGCCCACGACCAAAUCUCCCAAAAUUGAAGACACCGAAAUCGAAGACAUUGAAGACGAUGGAGAUGAAGAAGACCCACCUCCUAAAAAACAAAAACAACUCUCCUCUUUAACACAAAACCAAGAACCACCAGAACCUACGACAAUAGCAGAAAUCUUAAACAACGACAACAACAAUGGAGCCAACGAAUUCAAGAAACCAACCAAAAUCACCCCAACAACAACAAAAAAGAAGUCGAAGAAAAAGAACAACAAUAAUGUCUGGGUCACAAGAUCCACACGCAAAGGCAAGAAAAAAACAAAACAAAACCCACAAAACACACCAUCAGAAGACACUGUUUUGAUCUCUCCAAUCCCAAGAUUCCCUGACAAAAGCGACGACACCCCGGCCUUACAAAUCUGCCUGUCUAAAGUAUAUAAAGCAGAGAAAGCCGAAUUGAGCGAAGAUAGGAUGAGUGCAGGGAGUACUAAAGGGUAUAGAAUGGUGAGAGCUACAAGAGGGGUAUGUGAAGGAGCUUGGUAUUUUGAAAUUAAAGUGGUUAGUUUAGGAGAAACCGGCCACACACGACUUGGGUGGUCUACGGAGAAAGGGGAUUUGCAGGCGCCGGUUGGGUAUGAUGGGAAUAGUUUUGGGUACAGAGAUAUUGAUGGGAGUAAAGUGCACAAGGCAUUGAGGGAGAAGUAUGGCGAGGAAGGUUAUAAGGAAGGGGAUGUUGUUGGGUUUUAUAUUAACUUGCCGGAGGGGCAGUUGUAUACUCCUAAACCUGCUCAUUUGGUUUGGUAUAAAGGACAGAGGUAUGUUUGUGCUCCUGACGCUAAGGAAGAUCCUCCCAAGAUUGUUCCUGGAAGUGAGAUAUCUUUCUUCAAAAAUGGAGUCUGUCAAGGUGUUGCUUUUAAGGAUUUAUUUGGUGGUCGUUACUACCCUGCUGCUUCAAUGUACACUCUCCCCAGUCAGCCAAAUUGUGUGGUGAAGUUCAACUUUGGCCCCGACUUUGAAUUCUUUCCAGAGGAUUUUGGAGGACGUCCAGUUCCCAAACCCAUGAUUGAUGUUCCUUACCAUGGGUUUGAUAAUCGUUCUGAAAAUGGUGUCACCGAGGAGAAGAAACAUUAGCCUGUAACUUCCUAACCAUCUGUGGAGUUGGGAGGUUGAUUUGAGUUUAGCAUUUUCUUUAUAAUUUUUUUAACUGAUAUAUUAGGACUGACAAGUGAACUGACUCACUUUCUGUAAACUCAACUUUUUUAUGGAAGAUAAAGGGAAAAAAGAAGAAGAAGAGAGAGAUGAUAUUUGCUUGUGAGAUGCAAUUAUAUUUCAUGAGCACGAUGGCACCUUAAUUGUUUCUUGUGAAUAUUUGAUACCUUUACAGAAUUCCUAUUUACAAGCUAGAUGUUUCAGAAACCAUGGCUUAAGGCUUAUGCAUCAUACAAGUUUCUAUUUAGCGUGCUGUUCCCAAGUCACUGUGGUUUCAGUAAGUUCCUUUGUCGUAGUUGGAAGAUGGUGAGCAUGUUUCAACUUUGUUCUUUGCCAGAGAUGGGCAGUUUAGAUUGUCAGUCUUUUUAGUUGAUUAUAUAUGUUUAAAAAAAAAACUGAAAGGUUUGGUGAAUUCACCGUGCAUCCAGAGACAUUUAUACUGUGGCUCGCACGGUAGACUCUCAAUUUAUCUCUGAUUUCAUUUUUGUUGUGUAUCUUUGUGAUGUUGGGGGGUUGCAUAUCACCUCUCUCUUUUGUGUAUUUCAUUGGUGGCUGAUUGUGGUCGUUGCGGGAGAACCUUUGUUGGGUAUGGACCUGCAGCUAGGCACGUUCGCUCCAGAUUUUCUGGGUUAGUUUCCAAGGUUUUGAUCUCAUUUUGAUGUGCUUUUUCAGAGGGUUCUUGACUGUUCUCGAUUUUGUUUGAGGAGGCUAGCCUUGCUCCUGCAAAUGCGGCUCCCAUAACGUUUAAACUGGCAUGAUUUUGGGUGUCUUUUCUUUCAACUUGUAUGGGUUCUAAUGGUGCUGCAUUAAAUGCAGUACCACUUGCACAGGUUUGAUUUUUGUUAUCAUUGGAGCAGUUCAGUUGGUUUGUGAUUAGUUGGGGAUUUUGGUUGAGUUCUGGUAUCAUACAGUCUAUUUUGUUCUAUCAGCUUAUGGGGUUACUGGUUUAGGGGCUUGCUUAAAUCAAUCUUAGUUUGGUUGGGUUUUGACUGUAUGGGUUGUGGCAACCAGUCUGAUCUGAUUUCUUCAGUUAUUACUGUUUUUUUCCUGUCAGAUCACCUUACUCAUUCCUGCCAUGUUUUUUAGCACCUGGAUGAGCUGGGUUGAUAUUUUUUUUAACCUGCUCGCUUGCUAGGUGUUAGCUCUCUCAUUUCUAUAAAAGAGCGUCUUGGGGGCCAUUUGAAUUGUUUUUUACUUCCUGCUUGCGUUCCAAAGGCUGAGCUCCGCUCCAUUUGAAUUGUUUUUUUGAAGUAUUUUGGUUUCAAACUUCAAAAAAAAAGGUUAAGAGUUUUCUUUGCUUUUCCUCUGUAGAAGAAUCUGUGUUCAAAUUUUAACUUUCAUGUCAUUUUUUGCACGCAUAACUUCCCAUGAUCUCAAGAAGUGAAUAUUUGAAUAGAUUAGUAUUCCAGAGAAGAAGUAAUGGAGGAAAGGGUACCUUCCCCAAGAUUCAAUUACACAAUUUUCCAGUUGGAUCUGAAAUCUUUGAGAUAGCAGUGAAGUUCUGCUAUGGAUGGAAGGUUGAUCUAACAGCAUCCAACAUUGCUCCUGUACACUGUGCUGCACGUUUCUUGGAAAUGAGCAAUUAUCUCGAACAAGGAAAUCUAAUUUCCAAAACAGAGGCUUUUAUAAGUUUUGUAUUGUUAUGAGCAUGGGAAGACAUAUUUUGGAUUUUGAAAAGCUGUGAAUCCAUCUCUUUGUGGGCCAAAAAGUUACAAGUCGUGAAAUGAUGCUCUGAUGCCAUUGCCUGGAAUGCCUGCGUAGACCCCAAAUUAUGUAGUGGCUGAAACUUGAAGUGGUGAAUAUUCCACCCCAACUCUCAUCUUUCUGCAGACUACAAACCUGUAUAUACAUGUCUAACUGUGGAUCUCUAAAGUUGGAUCACCACAGCUUUGUUUUCCUUUGACAUAGUAUGGCUAGCAUGGGAAGUAGAAGUCUUGACAGUGGAAAUGCUAUUCUAUCUAGUAGAAAGCAUAACAAGUGUGUUUUUCUUCCAGCUGAUGCGAAUAUGGUUGCCGAAUCACUUGAAAGACGAAAUCAGAACUGGUAAUCCCUCUUUCCCUCUCCAUGCAAGUAUCAAAAUAUAUAUGUUCUGCAAAUUACAACUGCAGAAUCAAAUAUUCUCCAUUUAAUCUGCUAAAAUUUUCUUAUGCAACCAUAAGUGAUUUUUUUUAGUCUUCAGGACCAUUCACAUGAAAGUUGCAAAUGAUUUGAUCAUACAAGUUGGAGAUUCCAGCUUUCAGUUGCAUAAAGUACAAUGACCAUGCUUUCAAUAUCCAAACGGACCUAAUUAAUCUAUCCGAUUUCGCUUUAUGUACUAUAAAAGUGAAUCACUCCAGUCUUGGGAGAAAUCUAUUUGAAUAUCUGCAUUAAAUUUGUGUCUAAAUAUUUCUUGAGCUGCUGCAAGUUUAAUCCUGAGGUUAGACCAUAUUCCUUCACUGUAAAUCAUGAAAACAAGCUUACCAAUACAUGGUAGUCAGACAAGAAAGAAUCUUAUAGCUGCUAACUAGUACAGCUACUAAGAAGAUUUAGGUAACAAAAUUAUCUGGAUUAUGAUGCUUCAUUGAUUCACAUGUCAUAUAUGUCUAUCCCCAAAUCUGAAGUAUUUUGGUUUCAAACUUCUAAAAAAAGGGUUAAGAUCGAGUUUUCUUUGCUUUUUCUCUGUAGAAGAAUCUGUGUUCGGAUUUUAGCUUUCAUGUCAUUUUUUGUACACUGCUUCCCCAUGCUCUCAAGAAGUGAAUAUUUGGAUAAAUUAGUAUUCCAGAGAAGAAGCAAUGAAGGAAAGGGUACCCUCCCAAAACUCAAUUAAACAAUUUUCUAGGUGGAUCCAGAAUCUUUGAGAUAGUAGUGAAGUUCUGCUAUUGAUGGAAGGUUGAUCUAACAGCAUCCAACAUUGCUCUAAUACACUGUGCUGCACAUUUCUUGGAAAUGAGUGAUGAUCUUGAACAAGGAAUCUAGUUUCCAAGACAGAGACUCUUCUAAGUUUUGUAUUAUUAUCAACAUGGAAAGACAGAUUUUGAAAAGCUGUGAAUCCAUCUCUUUGUGGGCCAAAAAGUUACAAAUCCUGAAACAAUGCUCUGAUGCCAUUGCUCCGAAUGCCUGCAUAGACCCCGAAUUAUUUACUCUCAGCAAGGAUGAUGCACUUGAAUGUUCUAGCAAAUGAUGCUGAAAACUUGAAACUCCAAGGUGUAGCGGAGAAUUGGUGGAUUGAAGACGUUUCAUGCCUUUGAAUAGAUCUUUUUUGUUGAGGCUACUGAAACUUACAACAGAACUUUGAUCAGGGUACAUCCCGAGGAGGAAAAUUCAGUUUCUGGCAAUAUGCUGCUUCAGCUUCUCAAGUUGGGAAUAAUUAUGAGAAUUAAAUCUGAACUACCGAAUAAACUAGAAAAAAGACUAGCUCUUAAAUUGGAGAAUUAAUUUUGGAAUUUUUUUUCUUGCAAAUAGAGAAGACAUUACAAAUGCUUGCACAUUUUUUUUUCUGACAAAAAAGUUUUGGUCUGAACGGCAGUGAGGCGCUGCCAGCUAACUAGUUGAUAUCUGUUUCUAGUUUGACAACUAAAGUGUUGGGUCCUUUAGAUUGCUGUCCAACUGUCCUCUGGUAGUUUUUGCCUGCUGUUUCUUGGCCAAAUAUUUUAAUAAUAAACUUGUUACUCCCCUUGGGGUUCAUCAUGAUUGGUUCAGUCUACGACGUGCAAAACCAGACCUUUGCAAGUUUUAGAAUGUGACUAGUCAUUUUGAUCAGACAGGAGAGUACCAGACUUGAUUAGAAUCUGUGGAUGCUUUCUUUAAUUUGCUGCACGAAGUCAACUACGAGGGCAUGAGCACAUAUUGUGGUGUCGUGUGAUUUUCAGUAGUGUAUAAAGUCAAAUUGAUUCACUUGGCGUUGAAUUGCGUCAUUACUCAAAUUGUGCUUUUGCCUGAAUGAAUUUCAGGCACACCUAGACCUUGAGAAAAGCGGUAUUUUAGAAUGGACAACGGCAAUGAUCAUCACCAUGGAAAUCUUGAUUAACAGGAGCUAAACAUUGGCUAAUUAGUAGCUUCUUUUGGAUACAAUGGGCGGCCAGGUGCUGCUUAGUACAAUUAUGCUGUUGUUACAGGUUGUAAUUUAUAUAUAUUAUUUUGAAGUGUAUAGAUAGAUAAAUGGACCGACUGAUGCAUGUUACUCUUGAUUUUACCUUUGAAUGGUUUGUGUAACAUGAAAGGUUCAGGUUCAAAGAUGGUGACAGCUACAACUAGUAAUUGGCAAUAUGCACAAUCAUACUUUACGUGAUUCAGACUACAUACUGGAAAUUAGGCUCAUGAUUACAGCCGGCAACAUUCUCGUGAGAAUUCAACUUUAAUCUUUCAUGUGGGCGCAUUCAACAACAUGGGAAAAGGCAGGCUGGGUUUGAGCACUGCGGCCGUGUGUGUGAAAUGUGAGCCUAGUAGGGAACUGGAGAGCUGAGACCCUCUUGCGAAGACAAAGAAUAAGCAGGUUGGUUCCUUAUUGAAGGAAAGGGUGAAUAAGAAGUCUUCGUGAAAGACGGUCUCUUCUUCAGUUGUUUUAGAGUUCUCUUGGCACAAAGUUUCCGAAACACGGGGAGAAUUCUCUCCUUGAACUUGAGAAUGGCAAAGAAGAGGAGUCUGAAAGCUAUGAGAAUGAGCACAACAGCAGCUAGGUCCCACCAUUUUGAAUGAUCAAGACUAAUACCAAGCACGGUUGUGAGAACUUCUUCUCCUUUCAGUUUUGGGCCACCAGGUACUAAAGGAUCAAACUCCAGCCCAAUCAUGUCGUUUUUGUAUGCUCCCUGCGUUUCCCAUUGUAGGAAUGGUAAAUAUCAAGAGUUAAAUAGAAAAACUAAAAUAAAAUUCAA